rnacentral:rRNA from 1 species
AUUGAACGCUGGCGGCAGGCCUAACACAUGCAAGUAGAACGAGUGGCGGACGGGUGAGUAAUGUCUGGGAAACUGCCUGAUGGAGGGGGAUCACUACUGGAAACGGUAGCUACUACCGCAUACCAUCAGAUGUGCCCAGAUGGGAUUAGCUAGUUGGUGGGGUAACGGCUCACCAAGGCGACGCUCCCUAGCUGGGCUCCGAGGAUGACCAGCCAAACUGGAACGGAGACACGGUCCAGACUCCUACGGGAGGCAGCAGUGGGGAAUAUUGCACAAUGGGCGCAAGCCUGAUGCAGCCAUGCCGCGUGUAUGAAGAAGGCCUUCGGGUUGUAAAGUACUUUCAGCGGGGAGGCGUUACCCGAAGAAGAAGCACCGGCUAACUCCGUGCCAGCAGCCGCGGUAAUAC